AUUGAACGCUGGCGGAAUGCUUUACACAUGCAAGUCGAACGGUAGAGGGGGCAACCCCUCGAGAGUGGCGAACGGGUGAGUAAUAUAUCGGAACGUGCCCAAUCGUGGGGGAUAACGUAGCGAAAGUUACGCUAAUACCGCAUACGAUCUAAGGAUGAAAGCGGGGGAUCGCAAGACCUCGCGCGAUUGGAGCGGCCGAUAUCAGAUUAGGUAGUUGGUGGGGUAAAGGCUAACCAAGCCAACGAUCUGUAGCUGGUCUGAGAGGACGACCAGCCACACUGGAACUGAGACACGGUCCAGACUCCUACGGGAGGCAGCAGUGGGGAAUUUUGGACAAUGGACGAAAGUCUGAUCCAGCCAUUCCGCGUGCAGGAUGAAGGCCCUCGGGUUGUAAACUGCUUUUGUACGGAACGAAAAGGUCUCUCUUAAUACGGGGGACUCAUGACGGUACCGUAAGAAUAAGCACCGGCUAACUACGUGCCAGCCGCCGCCGUAA
rnacentral:rRNA from 1 species